GUUUGCACUUGUCGGGGAAGGGUGAGAACCUUCGAUUAAGGUUCGACUCGAGCGAAAGCGAGAGAACGUUGCCAACGGCAACGGCCCGUAGGUUGAGGAGCGAAGCGACGAAUAAUCCUUCCCCACCACCA
rnacentral:sRNA from 1 species